GAGAGAGCGAGAGAAGAAGGCAAGGAGGGCAGAAACGCGGAGUGCCGCUUCCCGCUUCCCCUGGCCAGGUUGCUCGAGGAUCUCCAGGCGAACAGGCGGCCGCGCCCGCACUCGGGGUACAGGGAAAGGCCAGCCCGGGGGCACCGGGCCGGCACCGGGCUAGGGCAGGAGCAGGGCCCGGGCCAGCCCGGCGCUGUCCCCCGAUCUCUGCGGGAAACGGGCUCCUUUGUUCAGCGGGAGCUGCCGAGCGCUGCCCCAAGUCCCGCGCUGCCCGAAGUGCUGCCAACUGGGGCCAACUUGAGUGAGUCCUCACCCGCCCUCCUCCUGACGAGGCUCUGGCCGCAGCCCCUGGAGCGGACAGGGAGACAAGGAGAAGGAGGUGGAGAAAAAGGGGGGAAGCGAGGGUGGGGGGUAGGAGCCAGUUGCUGGAAGGCGGAGGAAGGGAUAGGUGAUUCUCGCUCCUCUUUUCCAGAUCUUCUGAGGAUUGUUGUAAUUAAUCAAAUCCAGGAAGGAUUUUUUUUUUUUUUUUAAAGCGGCUCCCAAGAGCUCUCCCAGCUGCACUGCACCGCCCCAACCAGCCUGAAGGGAGAAGCAACCGAGGAGCACCCAGACCACGCACACUCGCUGCGCCUGCAGCUCCGGCCGGUUCUCCUCGCCUCCUCCCCAGCCUACCAGGUCCUUCGUCCUUCAGAACUUUCCCUGAUGUUGUGUGCCAGCCUCGUCUGGGUGCGUCGCCUCCGUGCUUGCCUGCUCCGCCCGCCUCGCAGAGGAUUUGGAGCUGUACAGGGGCCCGUGUCCCCUUGCCUCGAUGCCUGCCGGAGCUCCUACUGGGAACUAACGGGCUCCAACUGGAAGGUAGCCGACAAUGAGGGACAAGAAGCUGGACAAAGUUGAGCUACUCCUGCCAGACACCAGCUGGAAACCGCCUGGGAGGUCCCUACCCCCCGCUUUUUCCUGAAGCGCCAAAAUCUCCUGCAAAAGUUGCCGGGAAUGUCCCCGCUCCGCAGGCGGCCCCAGGGCGCUCCGCUCCACCGCCCCCCGACGGGGCGUGCGGGGCUUCCCGCUCCCGCCCGCGCCUCACACCUCCCUGCCUGCCAGCUCUGCCAGCCGCGCCUUAUUUUCUAUUCUAUUGGCUUUCCAGGUUUUCCCCCUACCCUCUUCGCCAUUUCAUUCCCCUUCGCUACUGAAAAAAAAAAAAAAAAGAAAAGGAGCCAAUUAAAGCGGGCGUGCUGGGGAGAGCCCUGCCUCCUGCCCAGUUCUGCGAGCCUCCCCACGCCUCGCCUCGGCCCAAUUGUAGGCAAGACCGCAGGGGUGGGAGAAAGAGGGACUUGCUUCGGGCGGGAGGCCGAUUGUCGGUCCGAGGUACCCUCAUCCUCAGGACCCUCGCGACAAGAGCAGCGCCAUAUUCCAUCAGGAUGCACAAACCAGUCUUCUGAAGGAACAAAACCCAUUUGGAAUUUGAUUUACAGCUCUUCAGCAGCCCUCAGAUUUGCAGAAUGAGGGAGACAAGUGCCACCUCUCCACCCAUCAUCAGGGAGGACUGGAGGAACCAGCAAUAUCCAGUCCCGCCCUUGCAAUGAAGCCAGUGGAGUUGGAAAGGCUGAUAUGAAGGGGGAGUCAGGGAAGGAUAAGGUGAAAAGUGUUUCCUUGUGCCUGAAGAUCCAGUCCAGCUGCCCUGGGUACACCUGGUCUUGGGAAGUAACCUGGAGUUGGGUCAUUGCAGCUGACAGGGGAUGAGCUCAUCCCUGCUCCAAACAUCCUGUGUGAGGUGUCUCAUGUUAAAUAUUCUUCUGUAUUCGCUGUGUACCUCUGAGUCCCUGAGAAUGGCAGACAUA